rnacentral:rRNA from 1 species
CUACGGGAGGCUGCAGUUAGGAAUAAUCUGCAAUGCGCGAAAGCGUGACAGUUUGAGCCAGAGUGCUUUUCUUUUGAAAAGCUUUUGUGAAAUGUAAAAAGUUUUACGAAUAAGGACUGGGUAAGGACGAGUGCCAGCCGCCGCGGUAAUACUCGCGGUCCAAGUCGCAGCCAUUUUUAUUGGGUCUAAAACAUCCGUAGCUUGCUUGGUGAGUUUCCUGUGAAAUCCGGCUUCUUAAGAGUUGGGCGGGCAGGAAGUACUGCCAAGCUAGAGACUGGAAGACGUAACGAGUACGUUCAGAGUAUCGGUAAAAUGAGUUAAUCCUGGACGGACUAACAACAGCGAAGGCACGUUACGAGGACAGUUCUGACAGUAAGGGAUGAAGGCUAGGGGCGCAAAACGGAUUAGAUACCCCUGUAGUC